UGAGUUCAAGAAGAGGUGUAACUUCAUUUCGCUCGCAACAAACAUUUGGAGAAGUAAAGAAAAAGAGUGAGAGAAAUAGAGAGGGAGAAUCGAAGGAGAGGAAGAAGAGGGCUUUGUGAGACAUCAAAAUUCAAGUCAAAAAUUGUGGAAAAAUCAUCCUAAGAGGUAUUCGGUAAUCCCAGAAUUACUGGCUGGUUACGAUGCUAAACCUAUGGAGGAGAGAUUGAAGCAUGGAAAAGUGGAAAAUGAUCAUUUAACAACACAUAAAAGAGGGCAAUGGAAAAAGGGCAAAGGUGAUCAGAAAUGAAAGAAGUUUGGUAAAGUGCCAUUUCAAAAUCAUGGCAAUAAGGAUGCAUGCUUCUUCUGCAAGAAAAAAGGUCACAUGAAGAAAGACUACCCCAAGUAUAAGAAAUGGCUCGAGAAGAAAAGUCAAGACGAGGACAUCAUCCAGUUGCUACCAGAAGCCCAUCACUGUGAGUAACAGUAUAGUAAAGGUGAGCCAUCGAGGAUCAACACUAGAGUUGUAUCGCGGUCCGCCUAUCUGUCAAGCCACCCAUGAAGUGUCUCCGCGUAGAGACGUAGUAUAAUUUACCAAGCUUAGUUUUGUUCAAGCUAUGAUGGCUUUGUUGUGCAUUAGGUUCAUAUGUAAAUUUUGGGUUGUGAACUUUUGCCUAUACCUAUAUGACUUGGACUGUAUAUCCAUGAACUGCGUAUGUGACAUUUGUAUAUUUGAUGUAAUGUUUAAAGACCCUGGCAUUUAAGCACUGCUCAAUGGACGUUCUGUUAUUAUUUUUGGUAUCUACUUCUGCUUAAGGCCCCAUAUUUGGAUAAAUAUUAUUUAAUUUUUUUUUUUUGAGGCCUAAGUACAGGCCGAUCAUGGACCAAAGUUUUAGGGAUGGGUUUGGGUUGUGACGGUUGGUAUCAGAGCACGAGUUAUGAUCACACACACGUGUCCAUUGAGCAUUAGUGUGUCUAGAAUGCAUUUAAGUUGCACAUAUUUCAUAAUAAGGUGAUAUGUUGUGUGUUUUGGAAGAUGUAUGUGAGCUUGUGUAACGAGUUAAGUGUUGAGAUUGUGAUUGUGAGCUUGCGUGUUUUGCAUGCUUUGCGUGUUGAAUUGUUGCCUAAAAUUGAUUUUUGCUUCAAGAGGUAUAACACUUGCUCUUUUAACUUGUUUUGCAUACUUGUUUUUCUAUCUUUUCCUAUUGAUUUUGGGUUGUUUUUGGGCUUAAAAAACUCUGGCUGUGUUUGGUUGUGUUUCCAAACAAUGAUUCUACACCCAUAUUCAAAUAUGAUGUUUGAAACCAAUUCUCAAAUCACGUUUCCAAAACUCUACAGAAAACGGAUUCUCAAAUCAUGUUUCUAACUGAAUAGGUGUAUCUCUUUCUGUGGUAGAAACGAAAACCUCAGCCCGACUACUCAUUGGUGGGGUGGACAAUGAUUGCUGAACCAACGACUACUGUACUGAUAUUCCCUGCCUAACUGCCCUCUGCCUUGUAACCGGGGGUAAUGAAAAGAACACUGCUUGUCCGUCAAUUAAAUCCUCAGAUCGAUGAAGCCUUCUACCUCUAACCCAGAGUGCUUUGGGGAAAACUGCCUCCUC